GGGUGAGUAAUGCCUAGGAAUCUGCCUAUUAGUGGGGGAUAACGUUCCGAAAGGAACGCUAAUACCGCAUACGUCCUACGGGAGAAAGUGGGGGAUCUUCGGACCUCACGCUAAUAGAUGAGCCUAGGUCGGAUUAGCUAGUUGGUGGGGUAACGGCUCACCAAGGCGACGAUCCGUAGCUGGUCUGAGAGGAUGAUCAGCCACACUGGAACUGAGACACGGUCCAGACUCCUACGGGAGGCAGCAGUGGGGAAUAUUGGACAAUGGGCGAAAGCCUGAUCCAGCCAUGCCGCGUGUGUGAAGAAGGUCUUCGGAUUGUAAAGCACUUUAAGUUGGGAGGAAGGGUUGUAAGCUAAUAUCUUGCAGCUUUGACGUUACCAACAGAAUAAGCACCGGCUAACUCUGUGCCAGCAGCCGCGGUAAUACAGAGGGUGCAAGCGUUAAUCGGAAUUACUGGGCGUAAAGCGCGCGUAGGCGGCUUAGUAAGUUGGAUGUGAAAGCCCCGGGCUCAACCUGGGAACUGCAUCCAAAACUGCUUGGCUAGAGUACAGUAGAGGGUGGUGGAAUUUCCUGUGUAGCGGUGAAAUG
rnacentral:rRNA from 1 species